GACGAACGCUGGCGGCGUGCUUAACACAUGCAAGUCGAACGAGAAGGCCAUGCGUAUGUGGGGUGCUCGAGUGGCGCACGGGGGAGUAACACGUGAGUAACCUGCCCUUGGCUUUGGGAUAACUUCAGGAGACUGGGGCUAAUACACGAUAGGAGAUACUGCUGCAGGGUAGGGCAUGGAAAGAUUCGGCGGUUAGGGAUGGACUCGCGGCUGAUGAGCUUGUUGGUGGGGUAGUGGCUUACCAGGGCUUUGACGGGUAGCCGGCCUGAGGAGGUGCCCGGCCACAUCGGGUCUGGGCUACGGCCCAGACCACUCCGGUAGGCAGCAGUGGGGAAUAGUGCACUAUGGGCGGAAGCCUGACGCAGCAACGCCGCGUGCGGGAUGACGGCCUGCGCGUUGGUAUCCGCUUCCGCCUGUGCCGAAGCGUGAGUGACGGUAAUGGGUAAAGAAGCACCGGCUAACUACGUG
rnacentral:rRNA from 1 species